rnacentral:rRNA from 1 species
UACAGAGGGGGCAAGCGUUAUUCGGAAUUAUUGGGCGUAAAGGGCGCGUAGGCGGUUCUUCAAGUCUCUCGUGAAAUCCCUCGGCUUAACUGAGGACGUGCGGGAGAUACUGAAGGGCUUGAGUCCGGAAGAGGGUGGUGGAAUUCCCAGUGUAGCGGUGGAAUGCGCAGAUAUCAGGAGGAACACCAAUAGCGAAGGCAGCUCGCUGGGACGGUACUGACGCUAAGGCGCGAAAGCGUGGGGAGCGAACAGG